GUGUCAGCAGCCGCGGUAAUACGAAGGGAGCUAGCGUUGUUCGGAAUCACUGGGCGUAAAGCGCACGUAGGCGGGUUGUUAAGUCAGGGGUGAAAUCCUGGAGCUCAACUCCAGAACUGCCUUUGAUACUGGCAACCUAGAGGCCGGAAGAGGUUAGUGGAAUUCCCAGUGUAGAGGUGAAAUUCGUAGAUAUUGGGAAGAACACCAGUGGCGAAGGCGGCUAACUGGUCCGGUUCUGACGCUGAGGUGCGAAAGCGUGGGGAGCAAACAGGAUUAGAUACCCGGGUAGUCC
rnacentral:rRNA from 1 species